UAUCUCAUGGUUCCCUUACAUGUAAUGUGUCUCUGAAAGAAAAGAGCAAAGUGACAAAAAUAGGAGGGGGGUCGUCACAUGGGAUUAUGCUAAACUUCAGAUCUUAUAGCUCAGAUCCAUAGAGUGCCGAUACUCAGUAUUUAUCUUUGGAUGGAGAAAAACCAGGCUGUGAAUACAUACUUCGUCUACACUGUUUCAUAUAACCAGGCAGCCUCAGAGAUCGAGCUCUUUGGCCCAAUCCCAAUACUCACACCGCACCCAAUGGUCUUCUGUGAAGUGCUCUUGGAGAAAGUAAGGCUUCUCUUGCAUGGUACACAAGUGUGCAAAUAAUUGCCAAAUUGGGUCAGGGAGCAUUGAGUCAUCAACUGCAACGCAUGCCGGAAUGCUGGUCGCCGUGCUACUUGUUUUAAAAAUCUAUAUAAACAACUUUCAAACAAACCACCAAACAAUUAUUUGAAAUUAAUUUAAAUUCAUUGUUGCCAAAACAUUCAGAGCAUCAAUUAAUUGUCCUAAAAUGAACUACUUUCAUUAGAAAUAUUCACACAUGUAAAGUCAACGUGAAUGAAUCGAAUGGUGGCAGCGCUCCUGUCAUUGUGUAACAGUAGCUCACAGGCCAAAAAAGGUCAGAGACUCUUGUCCUAUUUGCUCGCACCUCUGGCCGGGAUCGCGCAAUUGAAGGGCGCAAGUGUGGAAGUGUGAGUACGGGACUGCGCUUUUUUGUCAGCCUUCUUGUCUGGGCUGGAGGCUGCUCACUGUUCCGCCUGAAGAAAAAAGGGCAAAUAUUUCAUUGGCUAGACCAGGGGUUCGCAAUCUGCAGCUCUGGCACCACAAGUGGCUCUUUAGAUCAUUUCGAUCUUCUACAAAAGUGAGAUUACUUUUCUCACGUUAUUCUUAAAAAUCUGAGAAAAGAGACAAGUACUUUUAGUGGCCCUAAUCCGCUUCAGUAGAUAUUUAUCAAAAAUGAUAAAUGAUCUGUUUCUAAAGGUCGUGUAACAGAUGCAGCUCUAUAAAGUUUAUUUAGGUGAACGGAGAUUGUAAAGACCUUGUUCAGACUUAGUGUUAGGUAAUCAGACCUAUAGGGUUAGGUAAUUAGACAUAAAGGGUUAGGUAAUAACACAUAUAGGGUUAGGUAAUAACACAUAUAGGGUUAGGUAAUUAGACAAAUAAGGUUAGGUAAUUACACAUAUAGGGUUAGGUAGUCAGACAGAAAGGGUUAGGUAAUUACAUAUAUAGGGUUAGAUAAUUACACAUAUAGGUAGUCAGAGAUAUAGCAGGGUAUCCACGGGUCCUUAAAAAGUCUUAAAAAGUCUUAAACGAGCUUUUCCAAAUUUAAGGCCUUAAAAAUCCUUAAAAAUGACAAAUAAUCCUUAAAUACAGUUUCCAAAGGUCUUAAAUUACCAAAGACCCAAUAAACAAGAUUCUUUUAUUUCUAUAAAAUUUUCGUGAAUUUCUAGUUGGUGUUCAGCAUUUUUUGUGUAUGAUGUUGGCGUAAGCAGAACCGUACACAUUCAGUUGGUUGUGAAAGGGGGCUAUUUUAAAUGAGCACAUUAGCUGGUUAAGCUAGUGGGAGUUUGCGCCAUGGGGAAACACAAGCUUAAUGGUAACAGGAUGGCUAAUCCCCACGUUCGCGACAUGGUUAGCAAAGGUUCCAGGCUAUAGCUGGAAAUUAUAGCUUAAAUUUAAUUUUUAAAAUAGCCCAAAUUUGGUCAAAGUGGCCUUAAAAAAGGUCUUAAAAAGUCUUACAUUUGUCUCCCUUAAACCUGCAGAUACCCUGUAUAGGGUUAGGUAAUUAGACAUAUAGGGUUAGGUGAUUACACAUAUAGGGUUAGGUAGUCAGACAUAUAGGUAGUCAGACAUAUAGGGUUAGGUAAUUACAUAUAUGGGGUUAGAUAAUUACACAUAUAGGGCUAGGUAGUCAGACAUAUAGGGUUAGGUAAUCAGACAUAUAGGGUUAGGUAAUUAGACAUAUAGGGUUAGGUAAUAACACAUAUAGGGUUAGGUAAUUACACAUACAGAGUUAGGUAAUUACACAUAUAGGCUUAGGUAAUUACAUAUAUAGGGUUAGGUAUUACACAUAUAGGGUUAGGUAAUUAGACAUAUAGGCUUAGGUAAUUACAUAUAUAGGGUUAGGUAUUACACAUAUAGGGUUAGGUAAUUAGACAUAUAGGGUUAGACAAUUAGACAUAUAGGGUUGGGUAAUUAAACAUUUAGGGUUAGGUAAUCAGACAUAUAAGGUUAGGUAAUUACACAUAUAGGGUUAGGUAGUCAGACAUAUAGGGUUAGGUAAUUAGACAUAUAGGGUUAGGUAAUUAGUCAUAUAGGGUUAGGUAAUUACACAUUUAGGGUUAGGUAAUCAGACAUAUAGGGUUAGGUAAUUACACAUAUAGGGUUAGGUGGUCAGACAUAUAGGGUUAGGUAAUUACAUAUAUAAGGUUAGAUAAUUACACAUGUAGCUUUAGGUAAUAACACAUAUAGGGUUAGGUAAUCAGACAUAUAGGGUUAGGUAAUUACACAUAUUGGGUUAGGAAAUGCUCAGAUUAGGUCAAUCAGAUCUAUUUCACACUAAAAAUUUGCAUUCAUUGACUCACCCGUCUUGACUCAUGAUGGGGGAAGGCUGUUGUUGGUUUAGAGUCCAGGAAACAACAGAGAAUGUCUCAUCUAGUAGAAGCUAACAGUUAGCAUUAGCAUUUCCACCACACAGCAGAAUUCCUCCAGGCUCGUGUUAUUCGUGGAAAUAAAACAUUCACGUUGCAGGGCAAACAGAGUCAGUGGUAGAGUUAAGUUGUUAGCCAAUCAGAGGAGAGAUGUCCAGAUACCAUAACUCCAGAUCCUUCUGUUCACCUUUGCUAAGACUAACAACAUUUCUUUUUGUUUGCAUAGAAAACAUUUUAUGUAUUUUGAUGCUUUUUGAGAAACUGAAUUUAUUGCAUAUUCUAGCUUUUAUUCUAUUUGUCCAGUUUGAAUACUUGUGAUGAAAUAACACCAGAAUGACAUCACUGUUUUGUUUCAGGGUGUUUAAAUGUUUUCUGCACAUUCCCCUUAUGAACUUUUACCUCCUGAUGUUUUCCUGACUUGUUCAUAUUUAGAAACAAAAAGUCCACUUUGAGGUGACCUGAGCUCGUGUUCACAGACUGACAGACAGAACCGCGAAGCAUUAAAGGGUUGAAGGAACUUUCACAGAUGCUUUUUGAGCCACAGAAGUCCUUUGAUGUGCAGAUUUAGGUGAAGUUCUGCUUAUAAAUGAUUAUUGACUC